UUUUUUAGGAGCAGACCUGAAUGCCUUCAAAUGGUUCAGGAGCACAUCUGAAAUGCCUAUACCCCAACACAUGCAGCAUGAGAAACUGGAUGAACUGGAAGGUUUGGUCAGUUCCCAGAGCUAUGGCAUCAUCAGCAUGGAUGAGACUUAGCAGAAUGCAUCCCACGCUGGAGUGCUUGGGUGGAGGGCUGCGGGCAGGCAGAGUAAAUUUCUCAAGGCCUCUAAUUGCUGAGUGGAAUGACUGCUAUGUGGCACGAAGAAAUGGGCACGUUACAUUUUCAGGCUGCUGAUUUGCAAGUCAUCAGUGAAAUGGGGAAUCUAAUUUCACUGGAAUGUGUUCCGAGACUUCCAUGCAAUACUAUGAAAUGGAUAUAUAUGUUAUCAUGGGGCUUCCAUCAUGUCCUAAGGUGGACUUCUGACAGGUUUCUAUUGCAUAUUCUACUCUUGCUUCAUGUUUGAAAUUUCUAGGAAUCUGUACACUCACACGAAAACCUUUUGCCCUAAAUGUUAUGUUUCUGAAUUUAAGUAAAUAAUGAUAAAGGAGACUAAAAUUGAAAGUUAAUUUAGUUCAAUACAACAGCAGAAUAUACAGAGAUAUUUCUCUGUCACUGUUGCAAUAUUUUACUAAAGCUGAACCAUGUGCAUUUGAAGCACAGAUUUAUGUCACUUAAAAUAUAUUCCCAAACAGGUGAGAGAAACAUCAAGGGAAGAUUAAAUAAAUGUGCAAGUAAGUGUCUAGGUGUUAGUGUUGGGUUUCCCUUUCUCCCUCCUUUCUCCCUCCUUUCUCCCUCCUUUCUCCCUCCUUUCUCCCUCCUUUCUCCCUCCUUUCUCCCUCCUUUCUCCCUCCUUUCUCCCUCCUUUCUUCUCCCUCCUCUCUUUUUCUUUCUUGCUCUCUUGCUCUCACCCUCUAGAGCUGUGCUGAUUGCUUAAUUUCAAUAUCAAGUGGAAACUCAGGGAACUGGAAAUUGGUGGGAAAUAAUGAAUACAAUCUUAAAUAUUUCUGUACUUUUAUUCCUAGGAAAUCAAACUAGUAAUCAAAACUAGCUAAAAGAUUUUUAACACAGUGAAAAUGUCAUGGGGGUCUAAAAUGGGUCUGCAGAUGUAGAGGGUAUUAAGACUGCAGUGGCCAACCAAUUACUUUUGAAACACUAUUUCUUUGGAUGAAUUGCCCUGAGACUUAUGUUUUAAUUGUGAUGAAGUCUUUACCUUGAAUUUUUUCAGCUAAAGUAUUAGUGCUGUGACAGCAUUAAUAGGGUUCAGCUGUGUUGCUGGGCUAGAUUUGAAUGAGUUCAGGAGCAAUAGGUGCUGUUGUGUCUUGACAAGCAGUACUUAAAUGAUUUUUUUAAUCAAAGAUAUUUUAAAUUUUGCUUUCUGGCUUGAUGUCUUCCAUCCUUGUCUAAAGCUUUCAUGUUUUGUGUUUUUAACUAAAUGUACCUGACUGAAAACAGAAGCCUUGAUGUUCCCUUAACAAUCACUUAUAGCCAUUUAUUAGGUUGAAUUGCAAGCAGCAAAUAAAAUGCAAGGUGAAUUUAUUUCUUAACAACCAUACACCUUUCUGAAAGGAAGAGUUGUGUCAACAGCCACUGCUAUUAGUCAUAUGCUCAGCUCAACAAUGUUCUCAGUUGUGCCUUGAAUAGUGCAUGCUUUCUAGCAGCAAAUGGGGCAGUUCUUCUUCAAGAGAAUGUCUAAAUCGUUCAAAAAACCUAUUACCUCUAUAACAGCAUGUAUGGAUAAGAUCUGUUAAAAAUUGUGCUUAUCUUGUGUGUUUCUCCAAUUUUCACACUAUUAGAGAGGAAGAAAAUGAAGCAGUGAUUUUCACUUGAAGCAAAAAUAUUGGAGGAUGACUGAAUAUCACCUUUCUCUGCUAAUGCAGUUUUCUUCCUCAAUAUGUAAUUGAAUGGGCAAAUAUGAAUGCAGCACAGGUAAAACAAAAAAAGCUCUGGUUUAAAAGAGGAUCAACUUUAAAAUGAUAUCAACUUUAAAAUCCUACUGUAAUUUCAGCAAUGGUUUAGGUGAUGAGGACUUGAGCUGAGCGUGUUUGUGGCAGUCACUAUGAAGGCCCUGGUACCUCAUCUGUACUCCUUUUAGUAUCCAAGCUAGGAUGGUUAAAGUUAGCUUGCAAUUGCAUGCAAUGAAGAUUUGCAUCUUUGGAACAUACCCCAGACUUUAACUUUGAGAAACAGACAACAAACAAACAUAGAAGUUCUGUUUUUCUCUAAGAAAACAUCAAAAAUUCAAAAUACCUAAACCAGAUACUUUUAAAAAUAUUUGUAAAACAAUGUCCAAUUAAGUGAUGAUCUUUUAAAUUUUAUCUGACUUUUUUUUUUUUUUUUUGCUUAAGACACGGGACUGCACCAAUACUUUUCUGUGGUGAAACUUAUACUGCUGGGUAUUAUAAAUAUUUACAUAGCUAAAAAUAAUGAGAAGAUACAGAGA